rnacentral:rRNA from 1 species
GAUGAACGCUGGCGGCGUGCCUAACACAUGCAAGUCGAGCGAAGCACCUUACUUGAUUUCUUCGGGAUGAAAGUAUUGUGACUGAGCGGGCGUGGGCAAGGACGCUAGUAGACUGCUCAUACAGGGGAUAACAGUUAGAAAUGACUGCUAAUACCGCAUAAGACCACAGCACCGCAUGGUGCAGGGGUAAAAACUCCGGUGGUAUGAGAUGGAUCCGCGUCUGAUUAGCUAGUUGGUAAGGUAACGGCUUACCAAGGCAACGAUCAGUAGCCGACCUGAGAGGGUGACCGGCCACAUUGGGGACUGAGACACGGCCCAAA